GUGCUCGCUUCAGCAGCACAUAUAGUAAAAUUGGAACGAUACAGAGACGACGAGCAUGGUGCCUGCUCAAGGAUGACACAAAAUUCGUGAAGCGUUCCAUAAAAAA